rnacentral:lncRNA from 1 species
UCGCUUUUCCAUCACGGAGAUUGCAAAACUUUAUUUAUAUGUUCUUACAGCUAUGUAGUUUUUAUAAAUCCGCACGGACCGAGACAAUAUGGGUGUCGCCAAACAUCUUGUGCACACGGCGACAAAGUUCUGUAUGCACUUAGGUUGACUAUCGAUCGUCUGGCUUAAUCUAUAGAGGACAUAUCUCCAGUUCUGUAAACUUAGAAAUCAAAACGCAGCAACACACCAACUGUCCGACGUAAGAGUAACAUGCGUCGCGGCGCAAAUGUUUCUAUAUUGAUCGAUAUCAACACUACUGGCCUCCUGGAAUGACGACACCUGCACAUAUGAUAACGGAUCGACCACGUUCGUCAUGUCACAUUGCGCAUGAGAUAACGGAAUGUGCAAAAACAAGACAUGAGAACACGAAGGUGAACGACGAGGUUGUAAGACAAUCGUACCGUUGCACACGAUGCCAGCCUUGUAGGUGAGUUGGCACUUCUGAGGAAUGUAUUUUGCGAACUCCACUUUGGCGCCUGACUGCUGUUGGCUACUCGCGGCAGCGCAAAGGCAGUCCUCGCCGGUGUUCGUGGCGAAGGAACUCAAUGCUCUGCAGCAUGCUGCGGAGGGUUGGACGUUCGCUUUCGCCGCCGGCAAGCACGGCGCUAAUAUCGACAGAUUUCUGCCUCCGCAUUGCGCUUGGGAUUCGACGUUCACCACGGCGCUGAGUCCCACCAGCACCACUAGCAGCAACACGACGUUCAUUUUCAUCGCCAUGAUCUAGAUCCUAGCAACAGGAAUACGCAGACAAUAAC